rnacentral:rRNA from 1 species
UACGUAGGGUGCGAGCGUUGUCCGGAAUUACUGGGCGUAAAGAGCUCGUAGGUGGUUUGUCGCGUUGUUCGUGAAAACUCACAGCUCAACUGUGGGCGUGCGGGCGAUACGGGCAGACUAGAGUACUGCAGGGGAGACUGGAAUUCCUGGUGUAGCGGUGAAAUGCGCAGAUAUCAGGAGGAACACCGGUGGCGAAGGCGGCUCUCUGGGCCUUACCUGACGCUGAGGAGCGAAAGCGUGGGUAGCGAACAGG